rnacentral:lncRNA from 1 species
GUGUAUUUCAGAAUAUGAAGCCUGGAAACAGCACAAAUGCAUGAGGUGCCUUCCAGUGCACAGGUACUUCAGUUAAAAUAAUCAAAUGUAACACGGCACACAUGCAACAACUGGAUUCUGUGCCUGAUUUGAAAGCCCAGAGGUAACCCCUGAAAACCACGGGAAGUGAGGUCCAAUUUGAGUACGUGAACUCGUGACUUGAUCUAGAUUCAGUGUGUUCUGGUUUAGGAAACUCUAACUCUGUUUAAAAGCCACUAUGUAAUAAGCAACCAGUAAACAAUAACUGACUCAAUCUACCUGUUUUCAUUUUGAAGGAGAUACAGAAGGAAAACUAGAAAACUAUAAAACAAACAUACAACUAGAUAGCAAAUAAUAGCAUGUUAUCACACUACCCACAUGGUUUAUCCUGUUUUGACAGCAGCUCCUAACUGCUGCUCCUAACUGCUGCUCCUAACUGCUGCAUACAUCUGAUUUAAAUGCAGAAUGCCUAGCAGCAGUUACCCAGCUUUGUAUUGCUAGUUAAGAACUGUUUCCACAGUUUCCCAUGAAGGAGGCUCUUUCACAUUUCUUAUUUCAAAGGAGUAGAUCUAUUCCUUUGCAAGCAGGAGAACAGGACAACUCGGACAGUAUAUCAAGGGUAGAUUAUUUUGAUUAAAUAAAUAUACCUACAAGAUAUGGAAGACAUCUGCUUGAGUGUGAACUGAGCUGCUUCUAGAUUGGCAUUGAGUCUAAGAGAUAUCUGCAGAAACUAAGUAAACUUGGUCACAUGGACUUUACAACUUUCUACUUAAGUUUUGAAGGGAGCCCUGACCAUGUCCUGAGACAUAAGCUGAGGGAGCUUGAUUUGAAAAUGACAGCCCUAGAUAUAAUGCUAGCAUCAGCCAAGAAUUCUCCUUGAGGCCUUGAUAAGCUCAAGAAAAUUCCUGUUCACUCAGUGCCACCCUAGAAGGCCAAAAGUUUGGACACUUGUGCUCUAUACCCUUGGCUGAAGACGCUCCUUUCACUUUGUCACAUUUACAGUUGGCUGCAUGGACUUUACAAAAAACAUGUCUACCUUGAAGCCAGGAUAAGAAAAUACAGCAUCUCCAAACUUCUCUUCUUUUUUCUGAAUCGUGAUUAAUAUUCUGUCACAACAUUUUUAUAUUAGAAGCCAGUUGCCAGUUUGGCCAUUAGGAGCUUUGUUGAUUGGGAUAUCUCACUUACUGUUAAAGUGAAACAGGAUUAUAGUUUUUAAAUUCAACAAGGGA